GGCAAAGCCGGGGCCGGGCCGGGCCGUAGCGCGGGGCCCUCCAGCCCGGGGGCUGUUCCGGGGCUGCGCCCGGCGACGUAACUGUCCCCCCCCCCACCCCGGGCACCGCGGAGCCCUGACACAGCUGCCGCCUGCCCCGGCAGCCCCGCGAGUGCCCGAGCCGGGCCGAGGGGACAGGGCUGCGCGCGGGUCGGCCGGUCGUUGCUGCAGGAGCCGCCUGGUUCCCCGGCGCGGCGGAAGGGGGCCCUGCCAGGCAGGGGGAGAGGGCAGGCCAGGCCAGGCCAGGCCAGGGGUGUGGUGCAGCCCACCCCCACAGCAGCCAGUGCACGGGGGCGCGGUGCAGGGCCUCUCCCCAUGGACUUGGGUCAGGAACCAGAGACUCACCCACAACCCAGGAACCCCAGGGCUCGAACCCACCACCUUUGGCACCUAGGGUAGCUCCCUUACCACCAGACCACUGAGGAGAGCUGAAAGCAGCCCCGGGCCUGGGCCCCUUGACACGCACCCACCGGACCCCUCCACUGCAGGAGGACAGCACCUCCCCACAAAAGGGCAGAGACCUGGACUUGAACCCAGGCCCUCAGCACCCACAAGGAGAAGUCCUGCACCAUGCACCACAGGGCCUAGCUAGCUCUGGCUUUCUCUUCUGGGCCCCUUGACUCCUUCUCUGCGCGCACGCCCCUGGGGCUGCACACCAGCUCCUCUGCCCUCCUGGCAGGACCCCUGCCCAGCGCUGGAUCAGGACCACACACGGCUGCGGGCUGAAGGCAGACCCACCUGGAGGACAACCUCUUCCAGCCUCUAGUCCAGUGCGUGUGUUUGUGUUUGUGCAGGUACAGGCACAAAGUGCUUGUGUGCAUUCGUAGGGUGAGUGCCACGCACAGUCCACCAUACACAUGCAACCAGACCCAGUGUGCACUGCCAUACAUACACACCCCCCACACCUACCCCACCUCACACAGUUCAGCUACCAUCCCCACACACGCUUCUCCCCACACACCAGACGGCAAAGCUAACAUGUUUAACAACUUCUUUUCCUCCAUCUUCCUAAGUAGGGACCAGAACAGCCACCUCCCUGCUGGGCCCCCCUUCUGGAGGGAUUGGACGUAUUCAAGUCAGCCGGCCCAGAUGAUCUCCACCCUAGAGUUCUAAAGGAACUGGCCGAGGUCAUUGCAAGUCCCCUGGCACGGCUGUACGAGCACUCGUGGUGCUCUGGUGAGGUACCGGAGGACUGGAAGAGGGCCAAUGUAGU
rnacentral:lncRNA from 1 species